CUGCAGACCUUUCCAGCGAGAAUGAGCCUGUUGUGGCUCUGUCCUUUCCUGUAGUGUCUGCUAGAGAAAUUUGGGGCUGUUUGAGGCCCUGCUGUGUGCUCUUCAUGGCAGGGUUAUAGGUAAACCUCAGACAAAC